GCUUGACUGUAGCUUGUAAUUGGGUUCGGGCUUUUUUUGCGCAGCCUAGGUGGGAGGCAAUCGAUGAUUUUUUUCCGGAAAAAUUUGAGCCGUUCGUGAGAGACCACUCUGAAAAGGCUAGAAUCCUAAUAAUGAUCCUUGAAUCAGGACAUUUGACAGUUGCAGGUGGGCAGUUUUACUGGGGCGGUAUUCUCCUAAAAAGUAACGGAGGGGUGCAAAGGUUCCCUCAAGCUGGACGGAAAUCAGCUUAAGAGUGUAAAGGCAAAAGGGAGCUUGACUGCAAGACCUACAAGUCGAGCAGGGGCGAAAGCCGGCCUUAGUGAUCCGACGGUACCACGUGGAAGGGCCGUCGCUCAACGGAUAAAAGUUA
rnacentral:rRNA from 1 species